rnacentral:sRNA from 1 species
GAACACAAUAGAAAGCCAGACACGAGUGU